UACGGGGGGGGCAAGCGUUGCUCGGAAUUACUGGGCGUAAAGGGCUCGUAGGUGGUCAACUAAGUCAUACGUGAAAUCCCUCGCUUAACCGGGGAACUGCGCCUGAUACUGGUUGACUUGAGUUUGGGAGAGGGACGCGGAAUUCCAGGUGUAGCGGUGAAACGCGAUAGAUAUCUGGAGGAACACCGGUGGCGAAGGCGGCGUCCUGGACCAAUACUGACACUGAGGAGCGAAAGCCAGGGGAGCAAACGGG
rnacentral:rRNA from 1 species